rfam:Gossypium raimondii Chr12_contig_494, whole genome shotgun sequence.
AAUCCAUGGUGUAGGCAUUUCUAAAUUAGCAUCUUAAAAUGCUCCCAUGCUUCGUGAAAAUUUUCCCCUCUAAUUGUUUUAUCUUGGAAAUUUCCCUUCUUAGUUG